CUGCAUAAAUUGUUUUUAAAGGGUUACAUGCCUGUCAAAUCCGGAAUGGAGGUUGUCAGCACAAUUGCCAUUUGCAGGACAACGUUGCUCAAUGUUCAUGUCUCGAAGAAUACAUUCUUCAGGAGGACGGAAAAUCCUGUGUUCACAUGGAAUAUGCAGAAAGUGGAGUUGAAGACGAAAGCGUAUAGUUCUUUACUCAUCCACGUGGAAGCAACUGAUGAUUAACCUGAAAAAGUUGAUUCGAAGGGAUUCUCUGAAUUACAUGUCCCACCUGGUUUACCUGAAGAUGCAUAUAAGCAGUUCUAUAGCUCUGUUCAAUUAGCACACAGUGUCACAUUGCAUAACACUACUGCUGAUAUACUUAAUACCUACUAGUACAUCAUGAAUCUUGGAAUUUUAAUCAUCAAUUUGUCUCAAAAAUUGUGUACCGUCAAGCAAUUAUCUUUACGACAAAUACUUUUUAAUUAAUUGAUAAAUCAAAAAUAAAUAUUUUAAU